rnacentral:lncRNA from 1 species
AGUUUAUUGGGAAAUUCUUAAUUGGGAGAGAAACAUCACAGACUUAAACAAUUGGAAAAAAUAAAAGAACAAUUGAUCGCAAAUUAUUACAAAAGUAAUUUCUGAAAUGUUUAUUUUUGAGCCACUGCAAAAACAAAAUUUUAGUGCAUCCUGAAGUUCAUAUUUUGGUAAAUGAACAUAUUAAAUUACUGAAAAAGCAAAAGAAAAAAGUUACUGUUAUACAAGAUCUUAACGGAAUAAUUCAGCACAGUCAAAUAAACAGCUAUAAUUAUUCAAAGCUGCUUUUGCUCUAUAGCUGGUAUAUUAAACAAGAAUGUGAAUUAUUACUAUUAACACUGCACAAGUAACAAAAGGUAGCAAAUCCAGCAAUAUUAAAACCUGAUAUUAAAUAGUGUUCAAACAUUACAACAAAAAACAAGACAAUGAACUUCUAGACCUAUGAUUCUACCCCUGUGAAAGGAAUGUACAUGGAUGGUAGAAAAAAAAUAAAUAUAUAAAGUGACAAGUGUGACCAACACUGCGUCUGCAUCUCCAGAGCAGGAAUACGGUGAGUUAGUCAAUGUAUGCAGGGCCUCAAACGAGAGUGAGGAAAAAAGCAUUUCACUUGAGCACAGCUUCGUAAUUCCCAGGGAAGCUCUACUUCUCUUGUGCUGGUGACGGGUGGACAGAGCUUGAAAUGGAAAGAAUUUUCCCUACACCCUGAAUAUGGAUGCAUUAUUAUUUUUCUUAAUUCUGUGGAAAGUUUCUCUUGAAGAAAUAAAAUUUAAAGCAACAGACUGAUGGGAAAUUGAUCAUUUUAAUUGUGAGAGAGGAAUAUUUACUAAUCUG